UAAGGAAUAUUGGUCAAUGGGCGGAAGCCUGAACCAGCCAUGCCGCGUGCAGGAAGACGGCCCUACGGGUUGUAAACUGCUUUUAUACGGGAAUAAACCUCGGAUCGUGAUCUGAGCUGAAUGUACUGUAAGAAUAAGGAUCGGCUAACUCCGUGCCAGCAGCCGCGGUAAUACGGAGGAUCCAAGCGUUAUCCGGAUUUAUUGGGUUUAAAGGGUGCGUAGGUGGCCUGUUAAGUCAGGGGUGAAAGACGGUAGCUUAACUAUCGCAGUGCCCUUGAUACUGAUGGGCUUGAAUGAACUAGAGGUAGGCGGAAUGUGACAAGUAGCGGUGAAAUGCAUAGAUAUGUCACAGAACACCAAUUGCGAAGGCAGCUUACUAUGGUUUUAUUGACACUGAGGCACGAAAGCGUGGGGAUCAAACA
rnacentral:rRNA from 1 species